CGGACGUGCUGCGCGUUCCCGCGGCACCCCUGCGAGCCCGAGGGCAGGAGGGACGCGGUGUCGGGGCGCACGGGGGACUGCGGGGAGCGCUCGCCCGCCCUCGGGACCCCCCUGUCCCGCCCGCGCAGCGCUCCCAAAAGGACAUCAACCAGACCUUCCCAGUUUAAAAUAUCAACUGAAGGCAAAACCAGAGAAUAGCUCAGAAGCAUCAAUAUCUGAAUCUAAACUGUCACUGAUAAAUCACUGAAACUGGAACAACAGUUAUGAGUUUGACGUGCUUGAGAUGACACAGGACUGGAAAUUUGCAGGUACCCUCCUCACAAGACCCCUGGAAGGUCUAAAGUCAUCACGUGUUUCUU
rnacentral:lncRNA from 1 species